GAAAGAGACAACAUUCCAGGCAACAACAGGACGACGAUGAAGCAGGAGACAAUGGAUUUGGUACAGACAGCUCCAGCUGUAAAGCAGCCCAGACGUACGAGGAAUUGUCAAUGAAAACAGAUACAUCGGUUUAUGAUGCUCUGA